UACAGAGGGGGCAAGCGUUGUUCGGAAUUACUGGGCGUAAAGGGCGCGUAGGCGGCCUUCUAAGUCGAACGUGAAAUCCCCGGGCUCAACCCGGGAACUGCGUCCGAUACUGGAAGGCUUGAAUCCGGGAGAGGGAUGCGGAAUUCCAGGUGUAGCGGUGAAAUGCGUAGAUAUCUGGAGGAACACCGGUGGCGAAGGCGGCAUCCUGGACCGGCAUUGACGCUGAGGCGCGAAAGCUAGGGGAGCAAACGGGG
rnacentral:rRNA from 1 species